UACAGAGGUCCCGAGCGUUGUUCGGAUUUAUUGGGCGUAAAGGGUGCGUAGGCGGCGGAGUAAGUUGGGUGUGAAAUCCCGAGGCUCAACCUCGGAAUUGCAUUCAAUACUGCUUCGCUCGAGUACUGGAGAGGAGGCUGGAAUUUACGGUGUAGCAGUGAAAUGCGUAGAUAUCGGAAGGAAGGCCGGUGGCGAAAGCGAGCCUCUGGACAGUUACUGACGCUGAUGAGCGAAAGCCAGGGGAGCAAACGGG
rnacentral:rRNA from 1 species